rnacentral:rRNA from 1 species
GGUUAAGUUAUGAAGGGCGCAUGGUGAAUGCCUUGGUACUAGGAGCCGAUGAAGGACGGGACUAACACCGAUAUGCUUCGGGGAGCGGUAAGUACGCUUUGAUCCGGAGAUUUCCGAAUGGGGAAACCCAAUCAUCUUAGUCGAUGAUUGCCUGAGCAGUGAAUACAUAGCUGUCAGGCGGUAGACGCAGUGAACUGAAACAUCUAAGUAGCUGCAGGAAGAGAAAGAAAAUUCGAUUCCCUGAGUAGCGGCGAGCGAAACGGGAAGAGCCCAAACCAACGAGCUUGCUUGUUGGGGUUGUAGGACUGAACAUUUGAGUUACCAAAGUGCGACGUAGUUGAAGUCGUUGGGAAGCGACGCCAAAGAUGGUGAUAGCCCAGUAAACGAAACGUCAC